rnacentral:lncRNA from 1 species
GAGGCGCAUGCGCGGACUCAGCGUUUUUAAGAAGGGCUGGGGGUGCUGGGGAGUUCGCCCCAGCGUGUUGGGGGGGAGUCGCCGCCGCGGGGGGGGGGUUUGGGGUCACCGCCGCGGGGUUUGUCGCCGCCGCUGGGAGCUCACCUGCGUCCGAGGCCGUAAGGACGGCUCCAGUUCAUCCUCCAUCCGCCUCUGCCGCAGCACUGAGGCUGAAAAGCCGCUCACUCCUUACUCGGCUAAGCCCCAAGCUCAUCUCUGCAGGCCGGAAGGGAGCUCUGGUCCAAGGUCAUCUCGGCCAAGCCCCUGCAUUCGCCCUCGCAAGUGCCAGCAAGCGACUCUGGUCGCCGCGCUCCCAAGUCCUCCCCCGAAAUUCCGGCUCUGGCCCCUCGUCCCCCUCCUUUGCUACAGUCUCUGGACUAAAUGUCUGCGGGUCUCUGUCUCUCGCUGGUCUGACCUCAGCCGCAACCCUGCGCGAUUCCCUGCGCCGGUCGCCACUGCCGGCCGCCAGAACCUCGGAGGCCACUGCCCCUGGGCGUUCUCCGGAGGGCCAAGCCCUUGGUUGUGCACAUCUAUGCACGCCCCACCUACACCCCCCCCCCCCCACACACACACACUUUGGUUCAGGUAUCCCCGACCUUUCCCCAGAGGACGGGAAAAUUAGGAAAGACCGAAAGAUAGACCCACCAGUCUUCGGAGCGCUCUCAUCUGUGCGUCCUGGGCAGAGCGAGAGACUUGGCGGAAUGCGGGUAGGAGAACCGGUCUCGGGUUGCCGCCAGGGGAUCCAUUGCGUGAGAGGCAGGUCCGACUUAUGCUGGGGGCACUUGGAGUUGAGGAACCACAGAGUCCACUGAACCGGAUUAAUCUUUUAUCCCUCAGGGCUUCUCAGGCCCUGCAUGGAGGAAUCCAGGAGCUGGACAAAGACCAACUGAAACUAGACUUGCCAAAGAUGCUAUUUGUGGUCACAGAAACAUAGAGCUGGACAUGACCUUAAGAAGUCACCUGAGCAGACACUGUGAUGGGCACUGUAGUAGCUCUAUUGCUCAGACUUGGUUUUUGUUUGACUUUUGCUGCUCUGAACUUUAAUUCCUAAAAACACUGCAUUUUUAAGGAAAAACACAAAAUAUUAGCAGUUAUAAUAAAUAGGUAUUUUAUUGCAUGCUUUUCGUGCAUCUAUUAAGAUGAUCAUAUGGGUAUUCUCCUUUAAUCUGUUAAUGAGAUCAGUUACAUCAAUAAACUUUCUAAUGGUAAACCA